GUGAAAUUGUUGAAAGGGAAACGAUUGAAGCCAGUCGUACCUAUGGGUAAUCAGCCUUUUGGGUGUGAUUUUGUGGAGCGUGAGGAGUUAAACGCCUUCAUGCCUGCAUAUUCGUGCACUUUGGGUGUACUUGCCCGUAUGGUUGGUUAACAUCAAUUUUGGUGGUCAUAAAAUGACUGGAGGAAUGUAGCUUCGAUCUCGUAUUGAAGUGUUAUAGCCUCUGGUAGAUGCGGUGACCGAAACUGAGGAUUGCAACGAAUACCCUUUUGGGCUAUCCGUCUGGCCUCUGAAAGUUGCUUAGGUGCCGAAAGCGUGCUUACGGCUAUUUAAGUUGACGGUCAACAGGUUAGAACGUGAUUACAUUCGUUAAGGACGUUGACGUAAUGGCUUUAAACGAC
rnacentral:rRNA from 1 species